rnacentral:lncRNA from 1 species
GGAAGUGGAACGUGUUCGUAACUUGGGGGUGGUGGUGAUGGUGAUGGCGGUGGGGGUGAUGGUGGUGGCGGCGGCGGUGAUGAGUAGUAGUAAGUGGGAGGGGGUGGUGAUGGUGAUGGCGGCGGCGGUGAAGAGUAGGUGUAAGUAGGAGGUGGCGGCGGGGGGCUUUGAGUAUAUGAUGGUGAUGGAUUAUAUGUAGGGGGUGGGGAUGGUUUUGGUUGCCAGUGUGGGGUACUAGGUGGUGGGGUUGGUGGCUCGUUACAAGGUGGGGUAGGUGGGGCGGGAUGUGAUGGCUCUUGUGGAGGUGUGUGUCCAGCUGGUGGUGAUGGAGUUGGAGUUGGAGGUUUUGGAUGCUCGUAUACUGGUGGUGGUGGUGGUGGUGGUGGUGAAGAUGGUGUCACAUAUACUGGUGGUGGUGGAGAGUGAGGCGUGUAUGUUGGUGGCUCGUAAUGUACUGGUGGUGGUGGUGGUGAUUGAGGUGUGUAAGUUGGUGGCUCGUAAUGUACUGGUGGCGGUGGAGGUGGUGGUGGUGAUUGAGGUUUGUAUGUUGGUGGCGCGUAAUGUACUGGUGGCGGUGGAGGUGAUGGUGAUGGGUGAUGAUAGUAUACCGGACUUGGUGGAGGUGGAGGAGGUGGAGCAUGACGAGUUACAGGUGAAAUUUUGUGGGUAGGAGGUGGUGG